rnacentral:rRNA from 1 species
UACGGGGGGGGUAAGCGUUGUUCGGAAUUACUGGGCGUAAAGGGCUCGUAGGCGGCCAACUAAGUCAUACGUGAAAUCCCUCAGCUUAACUGGGGAACUGCGUCGGAUACUGGAUGGCUUGAAUCCGGGAGAGGGAUGCGGAAUUCCAGGUGUAGCGGUGAAAUGCGUAGAUAUCUGGAGGAACACCGGUGGCGAAGGCGGCAUCCUGGACCGGCAUUGACGCUGAGGCGCGAAAGCCAGGGGAGCAAACGGG